rnacentral:rRNA from 1 species
CCUACGGGUGGCAGCAGUGGGGAAUAUUGCGCAAUGGGCGAAAGCCUGACGCAGCGACGCCGCGUGAGGGAUGAAGGUCUUCGGAUUGUAAACCUCUUUCAGCAGGGAAGAACGGUCACUGUGCUAAUCAGCAUUGAAUUGACGGUACCAGCAAAGGAAGCCCCGGCUAACUCCGUGCCAGCAGCCGCGGCAAUACGGAGGGUGCGGGCGUUAAUCGGAAUUACUGGGCGUAAAGGGCGCGUAGGCGGUAUGUCAAGUCAAGGGUGAAAUCCCCGGGCUCAACGUUGGAAGUGCCGUGGAAACUGGCUAGCUUGAGUGUGUGAGAGGAAAGUGGAAUUCGUGGUGUAGGGGUGAAAUGCGUAGAUAUCAGGAGGAACAUCGGUGGCGAAGGCGACUAACUGGCACGUAACUGACGCUGAGGCGCGAAAGCGUGGGUAGCGAACAGGAUUAGAUACCCCAGUAGUC